UACAGAGGGUGCAAGCGGUAAUCGGAUUUACUGGGCGUAAAGCGCACGUAGGCGGAUAGCUAAGUCAGAUGUGAAAGCCCCGGGCUUAACCUGGGAAUUGCGUUUGAGACUGGUUGUCUAGAGUAUGGUAGAGGAUAGUGGAAUUUCCGGUGUAGCGGUGAAAUGCGUAGAUAUCGGAAAGAACACCAGUGGCGAAGGCGGCUAUCUGGACCAAUACUGACGCUCAGGUGCGAAAGCGUGGGGAGCAAACAGG
rnacentral:rRNA from 1 species